ACGGGAGGCAGCAGUGGGGAAUAUUGGGCAAUGGGCGAAAGCCUGACCCAGCAACGCCGCGUGAAGGAAGAAGGCCUUCGGGUUGUAAACUUCUUUUAUCAGGGACGAAUAAAAUGACGGUACCUGAAGAAUAAGCUACGGCUAACUACGUGCCAGCAGCCGCGGUAAUACGUAGGUAGCGAGCGUUGUCCGGAUUUACUGGGUGUAAAGGGCGCGUAGGCGGGACGACAAGUCAGAUGUGAAAUCCAUGGGCUUAACCCAUGAACUGCAUUUGAAACUGCCGUUCUUGAGUGUCGGAGAGGUAGACGGAAUUCCUAGUGUAGCGGUGAAAUGCGUAGAUAUUAGGAGGAACACCAGUGGCGAAGGCGGUCUACUGGACGAUAACUGACGCUGAGGCGCGAAAGCGUGGGGAGCAAACAGGAUUAGAUACCCUGGUA
rnacentral:rRNA from 2 species